UUACGGUCAAAUCACGCUGAAAACACCGGUUCUCGUACGAUCACCGAAUUUAAGCAUCGUAGAGCCAGGUCAGUAUUUAGAUGGGGGACCGCUUGGGAACACCUGGUACUGUAAG
rnacentral:rRNA from 1 species